CCUGAAACCGUGUACGUACAAGCAGUGGGAGCCUCUUUAUGGGGUGACUGCGUACCUUUUGUAUAAUGGGUCAGCGACUUAUAUUCUGUAGCAAGGUUAACCGAAUAGGGGAGCCGAAGGGAAACCGAGUCUUAACUGGGCGUUAAGUUGCAGGGUAUAGACCCGAAACCCGGUGAUCUAGCCAUGGGCAGGUUGAAGGUUGGGUAACACUAACUGGAGGACCGAACCGACUAAUGUUGAAAAAUUAGCGGAUGACUUGUGGCUGGGGGUGAAAGGCCAAUCAAACCGGGAGAUAGCUGGUUCUCCCCGAAAGCUAUUUAGGUAGCGCCUCGUGAAUUCAUCUCCGGGGGUAGAGCACUGUUUCGGCAAGGGGGUCAUCCCGACUUACCAACCCGAUGCAAACUGCGAAUACCGGAGAAUGUUAUCACGGGAGACACACGGCGGGUGCUAACGUCCGUCGUGAAGAGGGAAACAACCCAGACCGCCAGCUAAGGUCCCAAAGUCAUGGUUAAGUGGGAAACGAUGUGGGAAGGCCCAGACAGCCAGGAUGUUGGCUUAGAAGCAGCCAUCAUUUAAAGAAAGCGUAAUAGCUCACUGGUCGAGUCGGCCUGCGCGGAAGAUGUAACGGGGCUAAACCAUGCACCGAAGCUGCGGCAGCGACACUAUGUGUUGUUGGGUAGGGGAGCGUUCUGUAAGCCUGUGAAGGUGGCCUGUGAGGGUUGCUGGAGGUAUCAGAAGUGCGAAUGCUGACAUAAGUAACGAUAAAGCGGGUGAAAAGCCCGCUCGCCGGAAGACCAAGGGUUCCUGUCCAACGUUAAUCGGGGCAGGGUGAGUCGACCCCUAAGGCGAGGCCGAAAGGCGUAGUCGAUGGGAAACAGGUUAAUAUUCCUGUACUUGGUGUUACUGCGAAGGGGGGACGGAGAAGGCUAUGUUGGCCGGGCGACGGUUGUCCCGGUUUAAGCGUGUAGGCUGGUUUUCCAGGCAAAUCCGGAAAACCAAGGCUGAGGCGUGAUGACGAGGCACUACGGUGCUGAAGCGACAAAUGCCCUGCUUCCAGGAAAAGCCUCUAAGCAUCAGGUAACAUCAAAUCGUACCCCAAACCGACACAGGUGGUCAGGUAGAGAAUACCAAGGCGCUUGAGAGAACUCGGGUGAAGGAACUAGGCAAAAUGGUGCCGUAACUUCGGGAGAAGGCACGCUGAUAUGUAGGUGAAGCGACUUGCUCGUGGAGCUGAAAUCAGUCGAAGAUACCAGCUGGCUGCAACUGUUUAUUAAAAACACAGCACUGUGCAAACACGAAAGUGGACGUAUACGGUGUGACGCCUGCCCGGUGCCGGAAGGUUAAUUGAUGGGGUUAGCGGUAACGCGAAGCUCUUGAUCGAAGCCCCGGUAAACGGCGGCCGUAACUAUAACGGUCCUAAGGUAGCGAAAUUCCUUGUCGGGUAAGUUCCGACCUGCACGAAUGGCGUAAUGAUGGCCAGGCUGUCUCCACCCGAGACUCAGUGAAAUUGAACUCGCUGUGAAGAUGCAGUGUACCCGCGGCAAGACGGAAAGACCCCGUGAACCUUUACUAUAGCUUGACACUGAACAUUGAGCCUUGAUGUGUAGGAUAGGUGGGAGGCUUUGAAGUGUGGACGCCAGUCUGCAUGGAGCCGACCUUGAAAUACCACCCUUUAAUGUUUGAUGUUCUAACGUUGGCCCGUAAUCCGGGUUGCGGACAGUGUCUGGUGGGUAGUUUGACUGGGGCGGUCUCCUCCUAAAGAGUAACGGAGGAGCACGAAGGUUGGCUAAUCCUGGUCGGACAUCAGGAGGUUAGUGCAAUGGCAUAAGCCAGCUUGACUGCGAGCGUGACGGCGCGAGCAGGUGCGAAAGCAGGUCAUAGUGAUCCGGUGGUUCUGAAUGGAAGGGCCAUCGCUCAACGGAUAAAAGGUACUCCGGGGAUAACAGGCUGAUACCGCCCAAGAGUUCAUAUCGACGGCGGUGUUUGGCACCUCGAUGUCGGCUCAUCACAUCCUGGGGCUGAAGUAGGUCCCAAGGGUAUGGCUGUUCGCCAUUUAAAGUGGUACGCGAGCUGGGUUUAGAACGUCGUGAGACAGUUCGGUCCCUAUCUGCCGUGGGCGCUGGAGAACUGAGGGGGGCUGCUCCUAGUACGAGAGGACCGGAGUGGACGCAUCACUGGUGUUCGGGUUGUCAUGCCAAUGGCACUGCCCGGUAGCUAAAUGCGGAAGAGAUAAGUGCUGAAAGCAUCUAAGCACGAAACUUGCCCCGAGAUGAGUUCUCCCUGAGACUUAGAGUCUCCUGAAGGAACGUUGAAGACGACGACGUUGAUAGGCCGGGUGUGUAAGCGCAGCGAUGCGUUGAGCUAACCGGUACUAAUGAACCGUGAGGCUUAACCUU
rnacentral:rRNA from 1 species